rnacentral:tRNA from 1 species
GGGGAUUUAGUUCAGUGGUAGAGCGCUUGCCUAGCAAGCACAAGGCCCUGAGUUCGGUCCUCAGCUCCG